GAAACACGGACCAAGGAGUCUAGCAUGUGCGCGAGUCAUUGGGACUCAACUAAACCCAAAGGCGCAAUGAAAGUGAAGGUUCGCCUYGCGCGGACCGAGGGAGGAUGGGUCCGUUCUCGGACGGCCGCCCCGCACUCCCGGGGCGUCUCGUUCUCAUCGCGAGAAGAGGCGCACCCAGAGCGUACACGCUGGGACCCGAAAGAUGGUGAACUAUGCCUGGUCAGGACGAAGUCAGGGGAAACCCUGAUGGAGGUCCGUAGCGAUUCUGACGUGCAAAUCGAUCGUCGGAACUGGGUAUAGGGGCGAAAGACUAAUCGAACCAUCUAGUAGCUGG
rnacentral:rRNA from 1 species